AUUGAACGCUGGCGGCAGGCCUAACACAUGCAAGUCGAACGGUAACAGGAAGAAGCUUGCUUCUUUGCUGACGAGUGGCGGACGGGUGAGUAAUGUCUGGGAAACUGCCUGAUGGUGGGGGAUAACUACUGGAAACGGUAGCUAAUACCGCAUAACGUCGCAAGACCAAAGAGGGGGACCUUCGGGCCUCUUGCCAUCGGAUGUGCCCAGAUGGGAUUAGCUAGUAGGUGGGGUAACGGCUCACCUAGGCGACGAUCCCUAGCUGGUCUGAGAGGAUGACCAGCCACACUGGAACUGAGACACGGUCCAGACUCCUACGGGAGGCAGCAGUGGGGAAUAUUGCACAAUGGGCGCAAGCCUGAUGCAGCCAUGCCGCGUGUAUGAAGAAGGCCUUCGGGUUGUAAAGUACUUUCAGCGGGGAGGAAGGGAGUAAAGUUAAUACCUUUGCUCAUUGACGUUACCCGCAGAAGAAGCACCGGCUAACUCCGUG
rnacentral:rRNA from 1 species